GGGGCGGGGGCGGCGGGAUGGGCUGGGCCGGGCUGGGCUGGGCACGGCUCGGCUCGGCACGGCGGGGUUCGGUUGGGCACGGCUCGGCUCGGCUCGGCUCGGCUUGGCACGGCUGGCACGCAGCGCGCUCC